AGUUCAGUGAGUGAACAUGUUGAUCUAUAUUAUUAUACUGCUGUCAUCAACUGAAGGUUCCAGAGCCUCAGAAGUCAUCACUCCAAAAAGUGACAGAGAAUUUGCUCUUGAGGGUGACAAUGUGACACUCUCCUGUAACUACAGCGGUUCUGCUCGAGGUGUUCACUGGUAUCGGCAAUAUGCAGGAUCACCACCACAGUUCCUCAUACUGGAAGAUUCAGGGGUUACAACUCCAGCUAUUCCACCCGUUCCAGGAAUAACCAUCAAUCACAGAAAAACAGAAAGCCAUGUGGAUCUGAUCAUCUCCUCUGCUAAAGUGUCAGACUCUGCUCUGUACUACUGUGCUCUGAGGCCCACAGUCACAGGAAACCCUAUAACACUGUACAGAAACAGUUUUCAUAUGCUUAUCAAGCCUUGA